GAUGAACGCUGGCGGCGUGCCUAAUACAUGCAAGUCGAGCGAACAGAUAAGGAGCUUGCUUCUUUGAUGUUAGCGGCGGACGGGUGAGUAACACGUGGGUAACCUACCUAUAAGACUGGGAUAACUCCGGGAAACCGGGGCUAAUGCCGGAUAACAUUUAGAACCGCAUGGUUCAAAAGUGAAAGAUGGUUUUACUAUCACUUAUAGAUGGACCCGCGCUGUAUUAGCUAGUUGGUAAGGUAACGGCUUACCAAGGCAACGAUACGUAGCCGACCUGAGAGGGUGAUCGGCCACACUGGAACUGAGACACGGUCCAGACUCCUACGGGAGGCAGCAGUAGGGAAUCUUCCGCAAUGGGCGAAAGCCUGACGGAGCAACGCCGCGUGAGUGAUGAAGGUCUUCGGAUCGUAAAACUCUGUUAUUAGGGAAGAACAAAUGUGUAAGUAACUGUGCACAUCUUGACGGUACCUAAUCAGAAAGCCACGGCUAACUACGUG
rnacentral:rRNA from 1 species